AUUGAACGCUGGCGGCAUGCUUUACACAUGCAAGUCGAACGGUAACAGGCCUUCGGGUGCUGACGAGUGGCGUACGGGUGAGUAAUGCAUCGGAACGUGCCCAGAGGUGGGGGAUAACGCAGCGAAAGCUGUGCUAAUACCGCAUGUGAUCUGAGGAUGAAAGCGGGGGACCAGGCAGCAAUGUUUGGCCUCGCGCCUUUGGAGCGGCCGAUGUCAGAUUAGGUAGUUGGUGGGGUAAAUGCCUACCAAGCCGACGAUCUGUAGCUGGUCUGAGAGGACGACCAGCCACACUGGGACUGAGACACGGCCCAGACUCCUACGGGAGGCAGCAGUGGGGAAUUUUGGACAAAGGGCGCAAGCCUGAUCCAGCAAUGCCGCGUGCGGGAAGAAGGCCUUCGGGUUGUAAACCGCUUUUGUACGGAACGAAAAGGCUCUGGCUAAUACCUGGGGCUGAUGACGGUACCGUAAGAAUAAGCACCGGCUAACUACGUG
rnacentral:rRNA from 1 species